GACAGAGGGGGCAAGCGUUGCUCGGAAUUACUGGGCGUAAAGGGCGCGUAGGCGGAAUGGCAAGUCGGUCGUGAAAUCCUUCGGCUCAACCGAAGAACGUCGAUCGAAACUGCCGUUCUUGAGGAUUGCAGAGGAGACUGGAAUUCCCGGUGUAGCGGUGAAAUGUGUAGAGAUCGGGAGGAACACCGGUGGCGAAGGCGGGUCUCUGGGCAAUAACUGACGCUGAGGAGCGAAAGCGUGGGGAGCGAACAGG
rnacentral:rRNA from 1 species